rnacentral:rRNA from 1 species
CAGCCGCCACGGUAAUACGGAGGGUGCAAGCGUUAUCCGGAAUCAUUGGGUUUAAAGGGUCCGUAGGCGGUCUUGUAAGUCAGUGGUGAAAGCCCAUCGCUCAACGGUGGAACGGCCAUUGAUACUGCAGGACUUGAAUUAUUGGGAAGUAACUAGAAUAUGUAGUGUAGCGGUGAAAUGCUUAGAGAUUACAUGGAAUACCAAUUGCGAAGGCAGGUUACUACCAAUUGAUUGACGCUGAUGGACGAAAGCGUGGGUAGCGAACAGGAUUAGAUACCCGUGUAGUCCCUGUCUCUUAUAC